rnacentral:rRNA from 1 species
UACGUAGGGGCAAGCGUUAUCCGGAUUUACUGGGUGUAAAGGGAGCGUAGACGGUAUGGUAAGUCAGAUGUGAAAGCCCGGGGCUCAACCCCGGGACUGCAUUUGAAACUAUCAAACUGGAGUGCAGGAGAGGUAAGUGGAAUUCCUGGUGUAGCGGUGAAAUGCGUAGAUAUCGGGAGGAACACCGGUGGCGAAGGCGGCUUUCUGGCCAGUUACUGACGCUCAUGCGCGAAAGCUGGGGUAGCGAACCCGGAUUAGAUACCCUGGUAGUCCCUGAG